AACGAACGCUGGCGGCAGGCUUAACACAUGCAAGUCGAGCGCCCCGCAAGGGGAGCGGCAGACGGGUGAGUAACGCGUGGGAAUCUACCCAUCUCUACGGAAUAACGCAUGGAAACGUGUGCUAAUACCGGAUAUGUCCUUCGGGAGAAAGAUUUAUCGGGGAUGGAUGAGCCCGCGUUGGAUUAGCUAGUUGGUGGGGUAAAGGCCUACCAAGGCGACGAUCCAUAGCUGGUCUGAGAGGAUGAUCAUCCACACUGGGACUGAGACACGGCCCAGACUCCUACGGGAGGCAGCAGUGGGGAAUAUUGGACAAUGGGCGCAAGCCUGAUCCAGCCAUGCCGCGUGAGUGAUGAAGGCCCUAGGGUUGUAAAGCUCUUUCACCGGUGAAGAUAAUGACGGUAACCGGAGAAGAAGCCCCGGCUAACUUCGUGCCAGCAGCCGCCGCGGUAA
rnacentral:rRNA from 1 species